rnacentral:rRNA from 1 species
CCUACGGGAGGCAGCAGUGAGGAAUAUUGGUCAAUGGACGAGAGUCUGAACCAGCCAAGUAGCGUGAAGGAUGACUGCCCUAUGGGUUGUAAACUUCUUUUAUAUGGGAAUAAAAUGUUCCACGUGUGGGAUUUUGUAUGUACCAUAUGAAUAAGGAUCGGCUAACUCCGUGCCAGCAGCCGCGGUAAUACGGAGGAUCCGAGCGUUAUCCGGAUUUAUUGGGUUUAAAGGGAGCGUAGGUGGAUUGUUAAGUCAGUUGUGAAAGUUUGCGGCUCAACCGUAGAAUUGCAGUUGAAACUGGCAGUCUUGAGUGCAGUAGAGGUGGGCGGAAUGCGUGGUGUAGCGGUGAAAUGCUUAGAUAUCACGAAGAACUCCGAUUGCGAAGGCAGUUCACUGGACUGCAACUGACACUGAGGCUCGAAAGUGUGGGUAUCAAACAGGAUUAGAUACCCGAGUAGUC